AUUGAACGCUGGCGGCAGGCUUAACACAUGCAAGUCGAGCGGAGAGAGGUAGCUUGCUACCGAUCUUAGCGGCGGACGGGUGAGUAAUGCUUAGGAAUCUGCCUAUUAGUGGGGGACAACAUUUCGAAAGGAAUGCUAAUACCGCAUACGUCCUACGGGAGAAAGCAGGGGAUCUUCGGACCUUGCGCUAAUAGAUGAGCCUAAGUCGGAUUAGCUAGUUGGUGGGGUAAAGGCCUACCAAGGCGACGAUCUGUAGCGGGUCUGAGAGGAUGAUCCGCCACACUGGGACGGAGACACGGCCCAGACUCCUACGGGAGGCAGCAGUGGGGAAUAUUGGACAAUGGGCGCAAGCCUGAUCCAGCCAUGCCGCGUGUGUGAAGAAGGCCUUAUGGUUGUAAAGCACUUUAAGCGAGGAGGAGGCUACUUUAGUUAAUACCUAGAGAUAGUGGACGUUACUCGCAGAAUAAGCACCGGCUAACUCUGUGCCAGCCGCCGCAGUAAUAC
rnacentral:rRNA from 1 species